UACGUAGGGUGCAAGCGUUGUCCGGAAUUAUUGGGCGUAAAGAGCUCGUAGGCGGUUUGUCGCGUCUGGUGUGAAAGUCCAUCGCUUAACGGUGGAUUGGCGCUGGGUACGGGCAGGCUAGAGUGUAGUAGGGGAGACUGGAAUUCUCGGUGUAACGGUGGAAUGUGUAGAUAUCGGGAAGAACACCAAUGGCGAAGGCAGGUCUCUGGGCUAUUACUGACGCUGAGGAGCGAAAGCGUGGGGAGCGAACAGG
rnacentral:rRNA from 3 species